UGGAUAGUAAUACUAAUGAAAUUUAACGGAUUUGGCGGCAAGAUAGCCACUUAGAGGAACCUGCCCUGUAAACGAUGAGCCACGAUUAACCUUACUUUUACUAGAAUUCAGUUUGUAUACCGCUGUUGUCAGUUAGUUUAUUUAGAAAACUUUCGUACAUGAUAAAUUCAAGGACUUCAAGUAAAGGUGCAGCUUAUGUAAAAGAUAGAGGUGGGUUACAAUUAAAAGAGUAAUAUGGAUAAAGUUAGGAAAAAACUUUUGAAGGUGGAUUUAAUAGUAAAGUUUAAUAAGACUUGAUUAGAGCUCUAUCUUGUGUACACACCGCCCGUCGCUCGCGGGA
rnacentral:rRNA from 1 species